GUAGGUGGCAAGCGUUGUCCGGAAUUAUUGGGCGUAAAGCGCGCGCAGGCGGUUCUUUAAGUCUGAUGUGAAAGCCCACGGCUCAACCGUGGAGGGUCAUUGGAAACUGGAGAACUUGAGUACAGAAGAGGAAAGCGGAAUUCCACGUGUAGCGGUGAAAUGCGUAGAGAUGUGGAGGAACACCAGUGGCGAAGGCGGCUUUCUGGUCUGUAACUGACGCUGAGGCGCGAAAGCGUGGGGGAGCAAACAGGAUUAGAUACCCUGGUAGUCCACGCCGUAAACGAUGAGUGCUAAGUGUUAGGGGGUUUCCGCCCCUUAGUGCUGCAGCUAACGCAUUAAGCACUCCGCCCUGGGAGUACGGCCGCAGGCUG
rnacentral:rRNA from 1 species